rnacentral:rRNA from 1 species
UACGUAGGGCCUAGCGUUUGGUCCGGAAUUUAUUUGGGCGUAAAGAGCUCGUAGGCGGUUUCGGCAAGUCGGAUGUGAAAUCUCCACGCUCCAAGCGUGGAGGGCCAUUUCGAAACUGCCGUGACUCGAGUCCGGUAGGGGAGUGUGGAAUUCCCGGUGUAGCGGUGAAAUGCGCAGAUAUCGGGAGGAACACCAGUAGCGAAGGCGGACACUCUGGGCCGGUACUGACGCUGAGAGCGAAAGCGUGGGAG